AUUAAAUAUAAUUUUAAUAAUUAUUAAUACGCCAAAUUCCUGAUCAUCAUGAUGAACGAAAUUCGUUCAUCUUGAGGAUAGGAUGGCCAUUAUAAUAUUUUUUAGGGAUACCAAUGUAAAAUACAUCAAUGCUACGUGUUCUUUUUUGCCACAUUAGAAUGGUCUAGUCAUUCGCAAUCGACUAACGUCGUUAAAUGCUUUUGUUUUUUUUCUUUCUUUACCGUUUGAUGGUAGGUGGGAACCAUUAUUGGUGGAAUUAAUGUGGUCUACUGUUUGUGAUUUCAAGGGUUUUGACUUUGGUUUCUCAGAUUGAUACCACCUUCAAUUUUUGGUUAUUAUUCCGGAUUCUAUUUUGAAGUUAAGCUGCGGUGGGAAUUGCUUUGUCACACCAUACAAUUGUUUGGGUCGGCUUCUCUUAUAAGAAUUUAAUUGAAUUGAAUCCAGAUCUAUUCAAGGAUAAUAGGUUGAGUCCUGGGGGUGUGGUGAAGGCAGCCGGGCGAGUAUUGAAGGAGCAAUCUGAUUCAAUUUGUCGAGUAAGGGCACGCUAAACCUUUGUCCUUGUUUUGUCUACUUCACGCCUUAGUUAAGAGGAUGGAUUGGAUAGAUUGUGAUUCUAUAAUCUCCGAUUCAAUAGCAUUGUUGUGUGUUUUGUUUUUUCAUAGUAUUUUAUUUGAAGUUCUUAUUUUAUGUAGUCCAUAUGUUGGUUAUAAGAACCUAGUACGUAGGGGCUAAUUAUCAGAUUUCCUCUCCUGAAAUGUGUUGGUUAAUACAAGAUAAUGCAAAGUUGAAACUAAAAAACAUUUGGUUAGAUGAAAGAGAUGGUGUUCAUGUAGGUUCAUUUAAAUUUUUAAUAUUUAACUUUCAAUGCUCUCGAUAUACAAGUCUGAAAUUGUCCAUGACUAAUUUGGGAAAUGUAUCCAGCCUCCUAAUAUGAGUUGCCGCAUCCACUACUUUGGGCGCAUAUGUAAGAAGUUUGACGUUAAAAGAACUAGGUGGGUUACCGAGAUGGGAUUUGGGGGACUACUCCAUUUAGUAUCAGACAUGCAUUUACCAAGACAAUUAGCAUAUUGGAUAAUGACAAGGAUAGACCCUUUGAAUAGAAGCAUAAUUGCCCCAGAUGGGCGUGUGUUUUCGUUUUCGAAUAAUCAAGUUCGAUGGAUACUAGGAAUUCCGAACGGCAGCAAGCCUGUUCCAACUUCCAAAAUGAUGAGUUCCGACGAGCGUGAUAAAGUACAGCAUGUGCUUAUGAAAUAUGGUAGUUCAUGGAAAACCAAAUCGAGCAGAGGUUCAGGAAAUGUUUACACAUCCAUAGGUAUCCAGUUAACAACCCAAAUGAUGGAUAGGCUACAGGAAAACUUUGGGGACGAAUAUGAAGAGGAAUUCAAGACAUUAUUUCUUAUUGUUGUGCUGCAUAUGGUGCUUUGUCCAACCCAAUCACCUCGACUCGGUUCAGAUUUGUUACCUGCCUUAAGUUGUGCAAUGGAUUGGGUAAACUAUUAUUGGUGUGAUUUGGUGUUGAAGAAAUUGAUGGACAGUGUAUCCAGUUUUAAACGUCGAUUUUAUGCAAAUGGCUUUGCAGGAGGAUGUGGUGGUUGUGCCAUAUUUGCUGUGGUGAGGAACGAUAUUUCAUUGGAUGCAUGUAUUAUGUGUUUGUCUUUUUUCUGAAUGUAAAACCAAAUAUAUUUAUGUUCUAAUUUAGUAGUUUAUGGAUGUACAUAUUUUCUACCUUGAUCGAUUAGACAGACAUCCAGUACAAUGGGAUGAGUACCCUAGGAUCAAGGUCUGGACCAUGACGGAAAUAGGCAAGGCGACGAAGGAAGAUCGCAACCGUUUAGGUGAUUUUGGGAUGUUAGGGAUGUGUGAUUUUGCUUAUGGCGAAAAGCACAGGAGAAUAGCAAGAGACAAGGAACCUCCCAGCGGGAUAGUUGUUCAUGAAGAUGUUUCCACCUUGAUUGUAUCAUCAAGUGAGCGAUGGAGUAGAUCAACAUUUCGAGCAAAUAGGAAGCAACAACGACUCUGCCAUACAGUGAAGUUGAAGUACAACAAUGUUGAUGACUCUGCAAACGAUACAUAGAUAGUGGUGAAAUGUACUCCAUGCCAAACAAGUGAAAAAACUCCAGUCCAGUAUGCUUUGGAAACUUUUUUGAAGCCCUUUGUUAAAAUUUGUACCAUUUGAUUACAUGUAGUAGCUUAUCCUAUAUAUCUGUGCUCGGUGGCUGCACAAUCUAGUCUACCUUUGGAUACAAUUAGUUCUUUACCUUCAAAUGAUUCGGAUAACACGCCCAAAUUGUAGUUAGCUAAAAAAUUAUAAAGGAUAUUUGAGUGUAUUGAGGACCCUGAUAUGGGGCUAUCAACUCAUGUUGUGAUUUGUUAUUUUGAUU